rnacentral:rRNA from 1 species
GACGAACGCUGGCGGCGUGCUUAACACAUGCAAGUCGAACGGAAAGGCCCGGCUUUUGUGGGGUGCUCGAGUGGCGAACGGGUGAGUAACACGUGAGUAACCUGCCCUUGACUUUGGGAUAACUUCAGGAAACUGGGGCUAAUACCGGAUAGGAGCUCCUGCUGCAUGGUGGGGGAUGGAAAGUUUCGGCGGUUGGGGAUGGACUCGCGGCUUAUCAGCUUGUUGGUGGGGUAGGGGCUUACCAAGGCUUUGACGGGUAGCCGGCCUGAGAGGGUGACCGGCCACAUUGGGACUGAGAUACGGCCCAGACUCCUACGGGAGGCAGCAGUGGGGAAUAUUGCACAAUGGGCGGAAGCCUGAUGCAGCAACGCCGCGUGCGGGAUGACGGCCUUCGGGUUGUAAACCGCUUUCGCCUGUGACGAAGCGUGAGUGACGGUAAUGGGUAAAGAAGCACCGGCUAACUACGUG